GACGAACGCUGGCGGCGUGCUUAACACAUGCAAGUCGAACGAUGAAGCUGGAGCUUGCUCUGGCGGAUUAGUGGCGAACGGGUGAGUAACACGUGAGUAAUCUGCCCUCGACUCUGGGAUAACUGCGGGAAACUGUAGCUAAUACCGGAUACUUUCCCUGUUGGGCAUCCACUGGGGAAGAAAGAAUUUCGGUCAAGGAUGAUCUCGCGGCCUAUCAGCUUGUUGGUGAGGUAAUGGCUCACCAAAGCGACGACGGGUAGCCGGCCUGAGAGGGUGACCGUCCACACUGAGACUGAGACACGGCCCAGACUCCUACGGGAGGCAGCAGUGGGGAAUAUUGCACAAUGGGCGCAAGCCUGAUGCAGCAACGCCGCGUGAGGGAUGAAGGCCUUCGGGUUGUAAACCUCUUUUAGCAGGGAAGAUGCGAAAGUGACGGUACCUGCAGAAAAAGCACCGGCUAACUACGUGCCAGCCGCCGCCGUAA
rnacentral:rRNA from 1 species